rnacentral:rRNA from 1 species
AUUGAACGCUGGCGGCAGGCCUAACACAUGCAAGUCGAGCGAGCGGCGGACGGGUGAGUAAUGUCUGGGAAACUGCCGGAUGGAGGGGGAUAACUCCUGGAAAAGGUAGCCAAUACCCCAUACCAUCAGAUGUGCCCAGGUGGGAUUAGCUAGUUUGUGGGGUAACGGCUCACCUGGGCGACGAUCCCUAGCUGGGCUGGGAGGAUGACCAGCCACACUGGGACUGAGACACGGUCCAGACUCCUACGGGAGGCAGCAGUGGGGAAUAUUGCGCAAUGGGCGCAAGCCUGAUGCAGCCAUGCCGCGUGUGUGAAGAAGGCCUUCGGGUUGUAAAGCACUUUCAGCGGGGAGGCGUUACCCGCAGAAGAAGCACCGGCUAACUCCGUGCCAGCAGCCGCGGUAAUAC